rnacentral:rRNA from 1 species
UAAGGAAUAUUGGUCAAUGGACGCAAGUCUGAACCAGCCAUGCCGCGUGGAGGAUGAAGGUCCUCUGGAUUGUAAACUUCUUUUAUCGGAGAAGAAACCCUAGCAUUCUAACGGGGUUGACGGUACCCGAUGAAUAAGCACCGGCUAACUCCGUGCCAGCAGCCGCGGUAAUACGGAGGGUGCAAGCGUUAUCCGGAUUCACUGGGUUUAAAGGGUGCGUAGGUGGGCUGGUAAGUCAGUGGUGAAAUCUCCGGGCUUAACUCGGAAACUGCCGUUGAUACUAUCAGUCUUGAAUAUCGUUGAGGUAAGCGGAAUAUGUCAUGUAGCGGUGAAAUGCUUAGAUAUGACAUAGAACACCGAUAGCGGAGGCAGCUUACUAAGCGAUUAUUGACACUGAGGCACGAAAGCGUGGGGAUCAAACAGGAUUAGAUACCCCGGUAGUCC